AAAAGUCGUAACAAGGUUUCCGAAGGUGAACCUGCGCAAGGAUCAUUAUCAUANNNNNNNNNCACGAGAGCAGUCAUGACGUUUUCGUCGAGCACGCCCAAAGCGCUCUCACACAUCCAUCUCACCCUUAUGUGCACCACCGCGUGGGUCCCCCCUUUUGAAGGGGGGGCUCGCGUUUUCAUACAAACUUGACGCAGUGUAGAAUGUCUUUAUAUUUUGCGAUCACACGCAAUCAAUACAACUUUCAACAACGGAUCUCUUGGCUCUCGCAUCGAUGAAGAACGCAGCGAAAUGCGAUACGUAAUGUGAAUUGCAGAAUUCAGUGAAUCAUCGAAUCUUUGAACGCACCUUGCGCCCCUUGGCAUUCCGAGGGGCACACCCGUUUGAGUGUCGUGAAAUUCUCAAAACCUUUUCUUUGGUCUUUCGACCGGGUUUAGCGUUUUGGACUUGGAGGCUUUUUGCUGGUUUCACCUUGAAGCGAGCUCCUCCUAAAUGGAUUAGCGGGGUCUGCUUUGCCGAUCCUUGACGUGAUAAGAUGUUUCUACGUCUCGGGUUUGGCACUGUCCCUUGGGCACCUGCUUCUAACCGUCUCAUCGACAAUGAUGGCGUUCCGGUCACCACCGUUUCAUCGGUGGGAGGCUCGACCCACGAAACAAAGCUUGACCUCAAAUCGGGUGGGUCUAUCCGCUGAACUUAAGCAUAUCAAUAAGCGGAGGA
rnacentral:rRNA from 1 species